UGAAAUCACACGUGUUGUGAAGAUAUAAAAACGAAGCACCGCACAGUGCCUUAGUCUACAAAGUAGAGGUCUUCGCCAGACGGCAUGUCGGCUGCCCCCUAGAUGCUUCCAAGGGGCACGCAGAUAAGGUGGUAAGGGUGCAUCUAUCUAUCUGCUUUCAAAAAAUAAGAGGAACUUUAAGCAUUUUACCUUCUACAUAUUCCAACAGAAAUGUGACUGCAAACCAUCACCAAACCACCUUUCAGGCGAUGGAUAUAGUUCACUGAGUUACUUUAAGACCUGGAUACAAGGACAUCAUACCCAGUAAAGAUAAUACAGCAACACAAUAAUGCAGUAUAUUUCAGUAAAAAUAGAAUAAAUAAAAUAAAAAUAUUUCAAGCUGUAUUUAACAGGUU
rnacentral:lncRNA from 1 species